UCUGGUGUCCUAGGCGUAGAGGAACCACACCAAUCCAUCCCGAAUUUGGUGGUUAAACUCUACUGCGGUGACGAUCACGUAGGGGAGGUCCUGCGGCAAAAUAGCUCGAUGCCAGAA
rfam:Hordeum vulgare subsp. vulgare, WGS project CAJW01000000 data, contig: morex_contig_1545248